AAUUGUUAUAUGUAUCCAGUGACCAUACUGUAAAGUUAUUUUCCAUUUAACUUCACCAGUUUUAGAUUAUUUUUAUUCAAAAUCGCUGAAUUUUCACAUUUGCCGUUCAAAUACUGAGAAGAGACUUGCAGUGAGUCACAGCCAGCUGAGCCUCACCAUUGAUUGCGCAAUGACUCGGCUAACUGCUGGCAGUUGUGCAGUGAGACCGUAUUGCUAUAUGAAUUAUAUUAUACAUUUCCAUAGUUUAGUUAGCUGAGGUAUAUAAUGUACAGUGAAAAUUGUCAACAACUGUAUGUGUGUAACGUAUUUCUUGUGCUGGGCAAUCAUAAAAGGGCUGUGAAGACGCACUGUGUGAAGCUUGCCUCCUGGUGGUAGAGGGCGCUAGUGAUCCCAGAGAUCAUUCUUGCCUACUCGGCUAGGCCUGUGGACAUCUGAAGCCGGUGCCGACCAUCAGGGGUGAGUUGCGACGAAAGAGUGUGUCGAUGUUGAGAUAUUAAGCCGAGUUGGCCAGGUCCCUAACUCUUGGAUGGCUAGCUUUAGAUAGGCUUCGAGCCCGAGCCCAAGGAUCUCCACCUCCUCAACCCCUGAACUCCACCUGCUCUGGUCGGGCCGGUAGGCGGCUUAUAGCCGAACCCCUUGCCUCGCAUUUCAUUGCUCUGCGGCCUUAUGCACUACCUCAUACACAACCUGCCCAUAGACUGAACUUUCACUACAAACUGCCAUAUCCACAGCGCCAACCCGUGUGGCUGUAUGAACUGCGAAUGCACAUAUGAACUGUGAUCAGUCUCAUAUGGCUCCUAUAAACUUGAAUAACUUUUGAUUUACUUUUCAUGAUACCUGAACUAAACCAACAUUGUUUGUUGAGAUUCCUUUUGGGUUUUUUUCUUUUGUU